rnacentral:rRNA from 1 species
AUUGAACGCUGGCGGCAGGCCUAACACAAGCAAGUCGAGCGGAUGAAGAGAGCUUGCUCUCUGAUUCAGCGGCGGACGGGUGAGUAAUGCCUAGGAAUCUGCCUGGUAGUGGGGGACAACGUUUCGAAAGGAACGCUAAUACCGCAUACGUCCUACAGGAGAAAGUGGGGGAUCUUCGGACUUUACGCUAUCAGAUGAGCCUAGGUACGAUUAGCUAGUUGGUGAGGUAAAGGCUCACCAAGGCGACGAUCGUUAACUGGUCUGAGAGGAUGAUCAGUCACACUGGAACUGAGACACGGUCCAGACUCCUACGGGAGGCAGCAGUGGGGAAUAUUGGACAAUGGGCGAAAGCCUGAUCCAGCCAUGCCGCGUGUGUGAAGAAGGUCUUCGGAUUGUAAAGCACUUUAAGUUGGGAGGAAGGGCAGUAAGUUAAUACCUUGCUGUUUUGACGUUACCGACAGAAUAAGCACCGGCUAACUUCGUGCCAGCCGCCGCCGUAA